AUUGUGUUAAUUAUCAGAUUGGAUUUUAUAGUUUGAGAGUAUCUGGAAGAUUGAAAACUUUCUAUUUUUGCAUUUUAUAGUCCAGACCCUGCUACAUUGCAUUCUUUAGUACCUUCUUACUGAUGAACCACCAUGGAUGAGAAGAGAGUACAAAAAAGGGAGGAGAGUAUAGUGGCAGCACCUCAAGUAGAAACUGUCAUGGCCUGAGGGAAAGCACUGCAGCACAGAUAAAAAUUAAAAUGUGUCUGGCACAUGGAAUCAGCUCAUUUACUCAAAUGAAUUUUUGUAUUUUUUUUCAAUUCAUCAACUUUCAAAAUAAAGUUGAAAUUUUCUGUUUUCUUUUUGCCUAUAGAUCACUGAGCUCUAACACUGGGGUUCCCUAUUCCAGGACAACUCCUUUGAGUAUUGUCCUUCAAAAGCAGUUGUGGAAUGUUGUUGAUGUCCCUUUCCAAAGAAUUCUUUAAAAAGCAUAUUUUUUUUUCCUACUGUAUUAAGAUAUGCAAAAUUCCUCUAUUGGGUUGUUUCAGCAAGUGUUUUAAUUAACUGAUCAGAAAUGCCAUUUUUGGGACUCCAAAGUGUCUGUAACACAUUUGCCUUUUUUGUGGGGCAUUUUUAUUUUAUUGCAAGCAGUACAGCAUGAUGCCUAACAGCACGGACUCGGAAACCAGACAUUAUUUUGUGUUCAAAUUCCUUCACACUCUAGCCACCUUUUACAUGACAUUUAACCAUUACUUGUCUUAAUGUCCUUACUAACAAAUGGGAAUAAUAAACCUAUUUUAUAGGGCUAUUUAUAUUAUUCUUACAUGCAAAUAUUAAACAAGGGUAAAAAUACAUUUUCUCAGUCCAAUUACCUUGAAAUUUAUUUUAUUGUUAGUGCUGUGAUUUUCACUUAGAGGUUAGUUUUAAAUUCAAGUUUUAGUUAACUAUAGAAAAUGCAAUCAAGGCCAUAGAGAUUUGCUGUUAGCAAUAAUGCUUUAAUUUUUUGUCCUCAAAUUCUUUGAGGGCUCUAUUCAUCCCACACAUUCUGUUUCAGCUGUGUAGCUGCAAAGAUUCUGGGGAAUGCCAGCCAUACAAGGAGACACUUCUCCACAGAACAAAGCACUUGUACAGAAUAAUGUAGAUGGGAAGGAUGGAAUAGGUGAACCCUUAAUUAAAAAUGUAUUUCUGGGCUGGGGCUACACCUCAGCAGUAGAGCGCUUCUCUAGCACAUGUGGGGCACUGUAUUCAAUCCUUAGCACCACAUAAAAAUAAAUAAAUAAAAUAAAGGUAUGGGGUCUACUACAACUAAAAAUACUUUUUAAAUGUAUUUCUGUUUUCAUGAUCAAACAUUAUUUAAAACUUUAAAGUAUUAAUCAUGAAUCCUAUUUAAAUAAUAGGUGAACCAAGCUCAGUAUUAUAGUAUUCUAAGAAAUUUACUCACGGAAAAAUUAUUUCCAUUACUAGCUAAUGAAAAAUGAGGAAUUAGUACCUGUGUUCUGAAGACAAAUAUAGAUGUUUACUUCACAAAAUUUCAUAAAUAUAUAUUUAACAUAUAUAAUAUACAUAGACACAUAUGAUUUAUGUGAACAUAUAUUAAGGCAAUCUGCCACUUAUGCUCUUCAAAUUGUAUCAUUUCUACCAAAUUUAGAUCUUAAAAAUGUGUAGAAAACUGGCAUAACACAUUUGACAGACUCUAAUAAGGUCAAAAGAUGUACUGUAAAUUUUUUAUUGAAAUAUAACACAUAUACAGAAAAGUAUAGAUGUAAAUAUAUAGUUUAAUGAAUUUUUACAAAUUGUACAUUUCCAUGUAACCUGUACCAAC
rnacentral:lncRNA from 1 species